GGACAGCGGGCCAACGUCUCUCCUCGCGCGAUCCAUUCACUUCGGUCCCCACUCAGAAAAAAGCCCCAAGAACGGUGAAAACAGCACGAAAACCGGCCGGCUCAUAGAAGCCGUUAAGCCCGGCUCCUGAAUGCAUGUGGACGAAAACAUAGGCCCGCUGAACCCUCACUGACCCGGCGAUAGGCGGCGGCUGGACCAAUGAGAGGUUAGAGGUGGGAGAGUGGCUGCGUGCGC
rnacentral:lncRNA from 1 species